rnacentral:misc_RNA from 1 species
UUCGACCUUGCGCAAUGAUCG